UGGGGAAUAUUGCACAAUGGGCGCAAGCCUGAUGCAGCCAUGCCGCGUGUAUGAAGAAGGCCUUCGGGUUGUAAAGUACUUUCAGCGGGGAGGAAGGGAGUAAAGUUAAUACCUUUACUCAUUGACGUUACCCGCAGAAGAAGCACCGGCUAACUCCGUGCCAGCAGCCGCGGUAAUACGGAGGGUGCAAGCAUUAAUCGGAAUUACUGGGCGUAAAGCGCACGCAGGCGGUUUGUUAAGUCAGAUGUGAAAUCCCCGGGCUCAACCUGGGAACUGCAUUCGAAACUGGCAGGCUAGAGUCUUGUAGAGGGGGGUAGAAUUCCAGGUGUAGCGGUGAAAUGCGUAGAGAUCUGGAGGAAUACCGGUGGCGAAGGCGGCCCCCUGGACAAAGACUGACGCUCAGGUGCGAAAGCGUGGGGAGCAAACAGG
rnacentral:rRNA from 1 species